GAUGAACGCUGGCGGCGUGCCUAACACAUGCAAGUCGAGCGAAAAGGCUUGCUUCUUCUUCUGGAUUGCGGGUACUUGACUGGUGUACGAUCGAGUUUCCACUGAGUGAUCUCCCCCCGAAUUGUGUAUUAGUCCCGGAUACUGUAUCUAUGUCCCGUCAGCUCUGUAUUGUGGCUUCUGCGGUGGAAAAUGAGUUUCCAUUCGUUGAGCUUGUGCUCGCGGUCUCUCAGCUCGUUGGUGGGGUAAUGGCCUACCAAGGCGGGGACGGGUAGCCGGCCUGGGAGGGUGGACGGCCACAUUGGGACUGGGAUACGGCCCAGACUCCUACGGGAGGCAGCAGUGGGGAAUAUUGCACAAUGGGCGGAAGCCUGAUGCAGCGACGCCGCGUGGGGGAUGACGGCCUUCGGGUUGUAAACUCCUUUCGACGGCGAGGAAGCCACCUGGUUGGAAGGGUGGUGACGGUAGUGGUAGAAGAAGCACCGGCUAACUACGUG
rnacentral:rRNA from 1 species